rnacentral:rRNA from 1 species
UCGAGGAUCUUCGGCAAUGGGCGCAAGCCUGACCGAGCGACGCCGCGUGUGGGAUGAAGGCCUUCGGGUUGUAAACCACUGUCGUAGGGGAGGAAGGCCGUGUGAAGAGCAUGGUUUGACCGAUCCUAGGAGGAAGUCCAGGCUAACCUCGUGCCAGCAGCCGCGGUAAGACGAGGUGGACAAACGUUAUUCGGAUUUACUGGGCUUAAAGCGUGCGUAGGCGGCUCAGAAAGUUGGGUGUGAAAGCCCUCGGCUCAACCGAGGAAUUGCGCUCAAAACUACUGAGCUUGAGUGAGAUAGGGGAGAGCGGAACUGAUGGUGGAGCGGUGAAAUGCGUUGAUAUCAUCAGGAACACCGGUGGCGAAGGCGGCUCUCUGGAUCUUUACUGACGCUGAGGCACGAAAGCUAGGGGAGCAAACGG